UACGUAGGGGGCAAGCGUUGUCCGGAUUUAUUGGGCGUAAAGAGCGUGUAGGCGGCCAGACAGGUCCGUUGUGAAAACUCGAGGCUCAACCUCGAGAUGUCGAUGGAAACCGUCUGGCUAGAGUCCGGAAGAGGAGUGUGGAAUUCCUGGUGUAGCGGUGGAAUGCGCAGAUAUCAGGAGGAACACCAAUAGCGAAGGCGGCUCUCUGGGACGGUACUGACGCUGAGACGCGAAAGCGUGGGGAGCGAACAGG
rnacentral:rRNA from 1 species